CAACUUGUGGAUAGAACCCAGGUGGUGGAGGUGGAGGAGGAUUACCGGCAGGUGGGGAUCCACCUGGCGGAGGAUAUCCAUGAGAAGGAUAUUGCCCCGCAGCGUGCCCAGCAUAGCUCGAGGAACCACCUAGCAGAGAAUACCCAUCUGGUGGAUACCCUUGCUGAAGAUAUCCCUGUGGAGGAUAUGACCCUCGGUGCAUGUAUUGCCC
rnacentral:lncRNA from 1 species